rnacentral:misc_RNA from 1 species
AAGUCGUAACAAGGUUUCCGUAGGUGAACCUGCGGAAGGAUCAUUACCGAGUGCGGGCCCUCGCGGCCCAACCUCCCACCCUUGUCUCUAAUACACCUGUUGCUUUGGCGGGCCCACCGGGGCCACCUGGUCGCCGGGGGACGCACGUCCCCGGGCCCGCGCCCGCCGAAGCGCUCUGUGAACCCUGAUGAAGAUGGGCUGUCUGAGUACUGUGAAAAAUUGUCAAAACUUUCAACAAUGGAUCUCUUGGUUCCG